AUGAACGCUGGCGGCGUGCCUAAUACAUGCAAGUCGAGCGAACGGACGAGAAGCUUGCUUCUCUGAUGUUAGCGGCGGACGGGUGAGUAACACGUGGAUAACCUACCUAUAAGACUGGGAUAACUUCGGGAAACCGGAGCUAAUACCGGAUAAUAUUUUGAACCGCAUGGUUCAAAAGUGAAAGACGGUCUUGCUGUCACUUAUAGAUGGAUCCGCGCUGCAUUAGCUAGUUGGUAAGGUAACGGCUUACCAAGGCAACGAUGCAUAGCCGACCUGAGAGGGUGAUCGGCCACACUAGAACUGAGACACGGUCCAGACUCCUACGGGAGGCAGCAGUAGGGAAUCUUCCGCAAUGGGCGAAAGCCUGACGGAGCAACGCCGCGUGAGUGAUGAAGGUCUUCGGAUCGUAAAACUCUGUUAUUAGGGAAGAACAUAUGUGUAAGUAACUGUGCACAUCUUGACGGUACCUAAUCAGAAAGCCACGGCUAACUACGUG
rnacentral:rRNA from 1 species